UAACAUAAGAAAAACAUAUGGAAAGCAAUCAAACAAAACAUACAAAGAAGAAACUUCGAUGUAAAAUAACUUUGUCCUUAACCCAUCAUCGAUUAUGCCGACUAACUUCCACCAACUCCACAAUUAUGGAUCUGAAAAUUUAGUAUGGAAUACUAUGAGUAUAAAGAAUACUCAGUAAGAUACCAUGCUUGGAUUUAACAUGUUAAUACUAUACAAAAGAAUGCAUUCAAACACAUACUUGCACAUUCCGGCUUGCCGGUGCCCUUCGAACUUGUCCUAAGGCAUAAAUAGAUAUCUAACUUUGUGGACUUGUCCACGUCUUUCAU
rnacentral:lncRNA from 1 species